GUAGAGGAUUAAUUAAUUGUGAAAGGAAGAAUGAAAGGGAGAAGGAGCCGAGAAAGGAGAGACGGAGUCAACGAGUAUAGACUUUGACCUGUAGAAGAAGCUAGUUAAAAAGAGGAGAGGAUGAGGAAGAAGAAGAAGAAGCCAAGGGAGCAGUGUCGUGCUGAAAUAAUUAUCUGUAAAUCAAUUGAUUAUGAGUAAUCAGAGGGUAAUAAAUCUUCUUAUUCUUCUUCUUCUUCGUGGGUUGAUGAUGAGUGUUAUAAUGGGAAAAGGAUGCGAUGGUUGGGUUUUUGAAUUACCUCGGAAAUUAAUGACAAGAGAAUCUCCAGAGAGCUCUCCGAUUCCCGCACCAUUUCAAUAUUACAUUGAAACGAAGGAGAGGUGUUCCGAUCCGAUGGUUAAAAGGGGAUGUCGGGACUUGACUCAUAACCUCGCUGCUUGCCUUCUUUCGUCAAGUACCUUGAAGUUCUCUGUAUUUUUCCUAUGUAGCAUCCAGGGAACUGUUUCUUCUUGUCCAGAAUGAUGGAGAGGGCAUCUUGAAAGUGAAUCUUACAAUCACAGAUAUUAAGGUUACUUUCCCAGAGAUACAACUAUCCAAACACGAUGCCAAAAAGAUUGAUGUCUCAGAAAACAUUGAAGGAAGUCCGUCCAUCAUAUUAUACACAGGAAAUGGUUCGUGCACAAUUGAAAUGGAUUCAAAGAAACAAAAAGUCAAAUAUGAGCCGUUCUUUGGACAUGGCACCUAUUUAUCCCCCAAAUACGGAGCCUACUUGUUUUUGAUAGCUUUGAUAUCUGGAGGGGCAUGUGCCUGCUGCUGGUUUCUAAAAAGCUCGCAUGUUGAUGGAGUCCCAUAUCAGGAACUUGAAAUGGAGCGGCCAGACUCCCAUUCAGCUAAUAAUGUGGAAACAACUGGAGGGUGGGAUGAAGGGUGGGAUGAUGACUGGGAUGAAAUAAAGGAGGUGAAACAGCCAAAUGGACAUCAAACAGCAAAUGUUUUAUCAGAUGUCAUCGCUUCCAGGAACUCUGAUGCAGAAGAAGGGCGCAAAGAUUGGGAUGAUUAGGGAAAUAAUACAGGUAUAGCUUUUCCAUUGUCCAUGAAAAUGGAAAAAAGAAACACGACAGAGACGCUACAUGUAGAGAAGUCAGGAAGUCAAAAUUUAGUGUUCAAGAUAAGUGCUUGAGUUAAUGUGGAAGCAGAUUGAAAAUUAGAUAAAUGAAAAACAGUUUUGGUACACGAAACGAAUUUGUUGAUAUUUUAUUUUAAUCCACUAGGGAAUAUUAUUUUUUUUCUUGAUUUUUGUUCAGAAAAUACGUUUAUGAAGAGGAAAUUCUCCUUAUUUUUCUUA